rnacentral:rRNA from 1 species
UCGGGAAUUUUGGGCAAUGGGCGAAAGCCUGACCCAGCAACGCCGCGUGAAGGAUGAAGUAUUUCGGUAUGUAAACUUCGAAAGAAUAGGAAGAAUAAAUGACGGUACUAUUUAUAAGGUCCGGCUAACUACGUGCCAGCAGCCGCGGUAAUACGUAGGGACUAAGCGUUGUUCGGAUUUACUGGGCGUAAAGGGCGCGUAGGCGGCAAUUCAAGUCAUCUGUGAAAUCUCCGGGCUUAACUCGGAACGGUCAGAUGAUACUGCUUUGCUAGAGUGCAGAAGGGGCAAUCGGAAUUCUUGGUGUAGCGGUGAAAUGCGUAGAUAUCAAGAGGAACACCUGAGGCGAAGGCGACUUGCUGGACUUAUGGUGACGCUGAGACGCGAAAGCGUGGGGAGCAAACAGGAUUAGAUACCCCCGUAGUCCCUGAGCGGGCUGGCAAGGCGCAU